rnacentral:rRNA from 1 species
AUUGAACGCUAGCGGGAUGCUUUACACAUGCAAGUCGAACGGCAGCGCGGACUUCGGUCUGGCGGCGAGUGGCGAACGGGUGAGUAAUGUAUCGGAACGUGCCCAGUAGCGGGGGAUAACUACGCGAAAGCGUAGCUAAUACCGCAUACGCCCUACGGGGGAAAGCAGGGGAUCGUAAGACCUUGCACUAUUGGAGCGGCCGAUAUCGGAUUAGCUAGUUGGUGAGGUAACGGCUCACCAAGGCGACGAUCCGUAGCUCGUUUGAGAGGACGACCAGCCACACUGGGACUGAGACACGGCCCAGACUCCUACGGGAGGCAGCAGUGGGGAAUUUUGGACAAUGGGGGCAACCCUGAUCCAGCCAUCCCGCGUGUGCGAUGAAGGCCUUCGGGUUGUAAAGCACUUUUGGCAGGAAAGAAACGUCGCGGGCUAAUACCCCGUGGAACUGACGGUACCUGCAGAAUAAGCACCGGCUAACUACGUG